CUAGGCCAUCAAUCAUACUCACACACCAUAAACGCUGGACUCUCCCCAUCUUCAGGCUCGUGUAUCCGAGUCGCAUCCCCCUAAGGAGCAUCAGGUGCUCUUACCCAUCAAAACGACAUAAUCCAUCAAAAAUUGGCGCGCGCUCAUGUUGAAGCCCGAGUCGAGCUGAGCUCUUUAAGAGGAGCCGCUGGCUCGUUUGUUGCAAAACAAACGAAGGGACAAUACGGGUUUUGGGUAUGGGAUAACACAACACUUGGGACACAU
ensembl:ncRNA C30C11.10 ncRNA